GCUAUCCUUUCAAAAGUUUUUAAUUUAAAAAUUAUAUUUAUUCAUUUUUUUCUACUUGAACUCCUCCCAGAUCCUCCUUAUCUCCCUGGUUACCCAACUUCAUUUCAACCUCCAAUCAUGUUUCUUUCUCCUAACCCCCAAAAACCCAAAAUUAAAAAUUAGAACAAACCCAAAAUUAGCACACACAUACAUAUAGACACACACACACACACACCCAAAACUAAAUGAAACAAACAAACAAACAAAACCUAUAAAAUCUACAUGACUCUUGAAGUUUAUUUUUGUUGACCACGACUCCUGGGCAUAGGGCCUUCCUAUGUGGUCGGUAUUCCCAGUAGCACUACAUUGGAGAAACUUACUUUCCCUCUUCCAGAAAGCAUCAGUUACAGAUAGCUUCUUCUUUGGGUAUAGGGCCCUUAUCAACCUUGCCCUUCCAUUGCUGGACACUAUCUGCCUUGAAAUUGUCCAGGUUCCAUGCUCUCAUUGUCUCUGUGAGAUCCUGUGUGCAUCAGUCCUGUUCCUUUGGAGUCCCUCUAACACAUCAUUGUGUUCUACAUAGAUCUCUGACCCUUGUGGGGAAGCGUUUGAUAAUGACAUCCCAUAUAGUGUCCUAAACUCUCUUUCCCUGUGUACAGUGACCAGUUGUGGAUCUCUUGUUGAUACCUGUCUACUACAAGGUUCAUUAAUAAAGGUUGGACAAUAUACUGAUUGGUUGGUAUAGUAAUAUAUCAUUAGGAUCCAUUUUAUUGCUGUGUUCCUUUGCCAAACAAUAGGAUUUUUUUUUCUCUAGGCCAUAACCUAGCUAAACCCAUAUUCUUGGCACUUUAGUAGGGCCGGGUACCAUUUCAUAAAGUGGGAAUAUUUCAAAUAGUAGUUGUUUACUACCAGAAUAUUUGUGCCACUAUUAUAACCCUGAUUUAUCUUGCAGGCAGAUUGCUGUGGAGGUCACAGUGUUUGUUGCUGGGUGAUAUUUAUGGAUACUUUUCUCUUACAGGAGCUGGUAGGGUACCUUCUAGCGAUAUGAACACUAGGUAGUGGGGGUGAAGCUUCUAGGUGGAUUCUACUUCUCCUUAUUGGAUGAUGUAAGUGUGAUUCUUAGGCCCAAGAACUUACCAUCAUGUUGUGGAAAAUAGUCAAUAGCCAGUGAUGUUCAGAGAGGUCCAUGGAACAUAUUUUGGCCAACAGUUCACCAAAAUAUAACCCAUUUCUGGGACCGGAAAUUUUAUUAGGUGGUAUACAAUAUAUAGUUGGGGCAUUAGGUACCCUAUUAUAUGGUCAGACCAUUUACAUUUCUGAAAUAUUAGUACACAGUGGCAGCCUACAGAAUGGGAAACCUUUACAAAUACAUCUGAGAAGGCUUAGUAUCUAGAAUAUAUGAAGAACUAAAACAAAACAU
rnacentral:lncRNA from 1 species